AGGAGCAUAGCACAGCAGGCAGUGCACUGGUCUCCAACGCUAGAGGUUGAGGUUCGAGUCCUCAUGCUCCUG
rnacentral:tRNA from 1 species